rnacentral:rRNA from 1 species
ACGGCUCACCAAGGCCAACGAUGCGUAGCCGACCUGAGAGGGUGAUCGGCCACACUGGGACUGAGACACGGCCCAGACUCCUACGGGAGGCAGCAGUAGGGAAUCUUCCGCAAUGGACGAAAGUCUGACGGAGCAACGCCGCGUGAGUGAUGAAGGUUUUCGGAUCGUAAAGCUCUGUUGUUAGGGAAGAACAAGUACCGUUCGAAUAGGGCGGUACCUUGACGGUACCUAACCAGAAAGCCACGGCUAACUACGUGCCAGCAGCCGCGGUAAUACGUAGGUGGCAAGCGUUGUCCGGAAUUAUUGGGCGUAAAGGGCUCGCAGGCGGUUUCUUAAGUCUGAUGUGAAAGCCCCCGGCUCAACCGGGGAGGGUCAUUGGAAACUGGGGAACUUGAGUGCAGAAGAGGAGAGUGGAAUUCCACGUGUAGCGGUGAAAUGCGUAGAGAUGUGGAGGAACACCAGUGGCGAAGGCGACUCUCUGGUCUGUAACUGACGCUGAGGAGCGAAAGCGUGGGGGGCGAACAGGAUUAGAUACCCUGGUAGUCCACGCCGU